rnacentral:rRNA from 1 species
CGGCGGACGGGUGAGUAACGCGUGGGUAACCUGCCUCAUACAGGGGGAUAACAGUUGGAAACGGCUGCUAAUACCGCAUAAGCGCACAGUACCGCAUGGUACGGUGUGAAAAACUCCGGUGGUAUGAGAUGGACCCGCGUUGGAUUAGCUAGUUGGCAGGGUAACGGCCUACCAAGGCGACGAUCCAUAGCCGGCCUGAGAGGGUGAGCGGCCACAUUGGGACUGAGACACGGCCCAA